rnacentral:lncRNA from 1 species
AGAGGUUGUCCCGCAGAGCCCCCAGAAUGGACCAACCCUAUGACACUCGGUUUUGGACUUCCUGCCUCCAGAGCUGUGAUAGAAUGUGGUUUUAAGCCACCCACCCUGUGGUCUUCUGUUUCCGCAGCCCUAAUGCAAGUCUUUUGUGUAGUCCUCUCUCACAUGGGGCAGGGCUGGCCUGGGCAAACAGUAGCAUAUUGUGGAACGACAGCAUGUGACUUCCAUCCUGACCCCUCCUGGAUCACCCUCUGUAGAGGGGAAUGGCUGCUGUGUCAUGGGGGUGCAUGAGCAGCCCAGUGGAGAGGUGCACUUGGUGAGAAACCGAUGCCUCUGCCAACCACCUGCACUAACCUGCUGGGUCUGAGACUGAGCCACUUUGGAAGCUGAUCUUGGAGCACCAGUCAAGCCCUUAGCUGGCUGCAGCCACAGCCAACAACAAGACUGCAACCUCCUGGGGGAUCCUGAGCCAGAAUCCCCUGGCUAAAUUGCUCCUUGAUUCUUAACCCACAGAAAUUGUGUAAGGCUUAACACCAUGCAGAAGCUGCCAAGGCUUAUGGUUUGCACACUCUGGAGCAGUGGCCCUAGCUGUACCUGGGCUCCAGUUAGCCAAGGCUGAAGCUGGAACACCCUGUAUGUCAGGAGCAAUGUCCCAAGGCUGCACAGACAGAGUGUGGCAAUGAUGACUGCUCUCAUCUUCUUGAAAUGCUUUCCAGCCUGGAUUUCAUGAUACUUCUAACCCACUACAUUCAAAACUGGACCACACUUCACCUCCUGCAGCAACAGCCUCUAACUCAAAUCCUAGCCUCAGAUUUCAUCAUCCCCAAUUUAUUAUCCAUGCUGAAAAGUCACCUUUCUAUACCAUUCUGUCAUGUCAUUCUCUUCCUUAAAAAGCAGUUUCCUUGCAUAAAAAAAGUAAUUAAACUCAGAGUCAAAAGCCCAUGCUUGCCAGGCGCUGUGGCUCAUGACUGUAAUCCCAGCACUUUGGGAGGCCAAGGCGGGUGGAUCACGAGGUCAGGAGUUCAAGACCAGCCUGGUGAACAUGGUGAAACCCCGUCUCUACUGAAAAUACAAAAAUUAGCUGGGCAUGGUGGUGUGUUCCUAUAAUCCCAGCUACUCGGAAGGCUAAGGCAGAAUUGCUUGAACGAGGACCCAGGAGGCAGAGGUUGCAGUGAGCUGAGAUGGCACCACUGCACUCUGCCCUGGGCUACAGAGUGAGACUCUGUCUCCAAAAAAAACAAACAACAAACAAAGCCCCUGCUUAAAUUUAUAAACACUUAUUAAAUUUCCACACACAUUGUGCAUUCCAGCUCUGUAUAUCUUUUGCAUAUAGGCCUUCAAUGCAUCAUUGUCUCCUCCUGGGACACUCUUACUGCUCAAAUAAUUUGGUUCAGUUCUACCCAUUUUCUUAGAUGAGGCAUCACUUCCUCCAGUAGCUAUUCCAGAUUCUCCAAAACACGUUCACUUGGAAUUUUUUAAUUCCAGAGCACCUGCCUUUACUUAUGAUAAUGUAAACCAAAAUUAAAAUUCUAAGGCCCUGGUCAGGCACAGUGGCUCACACCUGCAAUCCCAGCACUUUGGGAGGCCAAGGUGGGCAGCUCAUGAAGUCAGGAGUUUGAGACAAGCCUGGCCAACAUAGUGAAACCCCAUAAAAAAAGAAUACAAAAAUUGGCCAGGCGUGGUGGCAUACACCUGUGGUCCCAGCAACUUGGGAGGCUGAAGCAAGAGAAUCGUGUGAACCCGGGAGGCGGACGUUGCAGUGAGCUGAGAUUGCACCACUGCACUCCAGCCUGGGCGACAGAGCAAAACUCCAUCUCAAAAAAAAAAAAAAAAAAAAAAAAGUCAAAGGCCCACACAACCAUCUGAAUGGACUUUCUCAGCCAGGACACUUAAAAUUUAACCUGAGAGACUGGUUCAGGCCAUGAUGGGAAGGGGGGUCGGACAGGCCUCAUUAUACAUCUCCAGUACUAACAUCAACACAGAUUUUAAGUCUGAUUAGAAUCACUUUACAACCUAUUAUCUCUGAGGCCUGCUACCUGAAUGAAGUCUUCCUCAGCAAAUAAGAACUUUGGUCUUCACAACCUCUUAUCUGAACCGAGACAUUUCUUUCUUUUGAUUCCAGGUCUUUAGAUAAACUUAACCAAUUGUCAACCAGAAAAAUUUUAAAUCUACCUGUGAGCUGGAACCCCCCCCCGCCACCCCCCCCCCCCAUUUCACAUUGUCCCACCUUUCUGGACCAAUUCAAUGUAUUUCUUAAAAUUAGUUGAUUAAAAUCUCAUGUCUCCCUAAGAUGUAUAAAAGCAAGCUCUGCCCGACCACCUUGGGCACAUGUUCUCGGGACCUCCUGAGGGCUGUGUCGCUGGCCAUGGUCACUCAUAUUUGGCUCAGAAUAAAUCUCUUCAAAUAUUUUACAGAGUUUGACUCUUUUCAUCAAGAGUAGCACAAUUUCACGUUACAAUUUCUCCUUUCUUGUCUGCAUUUCUUACUUCAUUACAAGUUCCUUAAGAGAAAAUGUACACCUUUUUUACUAUUUUAUGUGCAGUGCCCAGGGCAGUGCCUGGAUAAAAGAGAUGUUUAUUCAAUAUCUACUGAGUUAAUUAAUUAACUCUUUCCUGCCAUUGAAACAG